rnacentral:rRNA from 1 species
CACAUGCAAGUCGAACGAACCUUCGGGUUAGUGGCGGACGGGUGAGUAACGCGUGGGAAUCUGCCCUCAGGAGGGGGAUAACGGCCGGAAACGGCCGCUAAUACCCCAUAUGCCGAGAGGUGAAAUGAAUUUCGCCUGAGGAUGAGCCCGCGUCUGAUUAGCUAGUUGGUGAGGUAAGAGCUCACCAAGGCAUCGAUCAGUAGCUGGUCUGAGAGGAUGAUCAGCCACACUGGGACUGAGACACGGCCCAGACUCCUACGGGAGGCAGCAGUGGGGAAUUUUCCGCAAUGGGCGAAAGCCUGACGGAGCAACGCCGCGUGAGGGAUGAAGGCCUCUGGGCUGUAAACCUCUUUUAUCAAGGAAGAAGAUCUGACGGUACUUGAUGAAUAAGCCACGGCUAAUUCCGUGCCAGCAGCCGCGGUAAUACGGGAGUGGCAAGCGUUAUCCGGAAUUAUUGGGCGUAAAGCGUCCGCAGGCGGCCCUACAAGUCUGCUGUUAAAAAGUGGAGCUUAACUCCAUCAUGGCAGUGGAAACUGUUGGGCUCGAGUGUGGUAGGGGCAGAGGGAAUUCCCGGUGUAGCGGUGAAAUGCGUAGAUAUCGGGAAGAACACCAGUGGCGAAGGCGCUCUGCUGGGCCAUCACUGACGCUCAUGGACGAAAGCCAGGGGAGCGAAAGGGAUUAGAUACCCCUGUAGUCCUGGCCGUAAACGAUGAACACUAGGUGUCGGGGGAAUCGACCCCUCCGGUGUCGUAGCCAACGCGUUAAGUGUUCCGCCUGGGGAGUACGCACGCGAGUGUGAAACUCAAAGGAAUUGACGGGGGCCCGCACAAGCGGUGGAGUAUGUGGUUUAAUUCGAUGCAACGCGAAGAACCUUACCAGGAUUUGACAUCCUGCGAAUCUCUUGAACUUGAGAGUGCCUUCGGGAGCGCAGUGACAGGUGUGCAUGCUGUCGUCAGCUCGUGUCGUGAGAUGUGGGUAGUCCCGCACGAGCGCACCCACGUCUUUAGUGCAGCAUAAGUGGGCACUCUAGAAGACCGCCGGUGAUAACCGGAGAAGGGUGGAUGACGUCAGUCAUCAUGCCCUUAUAUUCUGGGGUUACCCGUACUACAUGGUUCGGACAAAAGGGCGGCAAGUUCUCGAGGGGCAAGC